AAUUUUGGACAAUGGGGGAAACCCUGAUCCAGCCAUCCCGCGUGUAUGAUGAAGGCCUUCGGGUUGUAAAGUACUUUUGGCAGAGAAGAAAAGGUACCGCCUAAUACGAGGUACUGUUGACGGUAUCUGCAGAAUAAGCACCGGCUAACUACGUGCCAGCAGCCGCGGUAAUACGUAGGGUGCAAGCGUUAAUCGGAAUUACGGGGGUGAAAGCGUCGUUAAGCGGUUCGGAAAGAAAGAUAUGAAAACCCAGGGGUCAACCUUGGAACUUAAUUUUGAAAUGCCAAGCUAGGGUAUGUCAGAGGGGGGUAGAAUUCCCCGUGUAGGAGUGAAAAGCGUAGAAAUGUGGAGGAAUACCGAUGGCGAAGGCAGCCCCCUGGGAUAAUACUGACGCUCAGACACGAAAGCGUGGGGAGCAAACA
rnacentral:rRNA from 1 species